UACGUAGGGUGCAAGCGUUGCCCGGAUUUACUGGGCGUAAAGCGCACGUAGGCGGAUCGUUAAGUCGGGGGUGAAAUCCUGGGGCUCAACCCCAGAACUGCCUUCGAUACUGGCGAUCUCGAGUCCGGAAGAGGUGAGUGGAACUCCUAGUGUAGAGGUGGAAUUCGUAGAUAUUAGGAAGAACACCAGUGGCGAAGGCGGCUCACUGGUCCGGUACUGACGCUGAGGUGCGAAAGCGUGGGGAGCAAACAGG
rnacentral:rRNA from 1 species